rnacentral:rRNA from 1 species
GGGCAGCAGCAAGGAAUAUUGUGCAAUGGGCGAAAGCCUGACACAGCGACACCGCGUGGAGGAAGAAGGCCUUCGGGUUGUAAACUCCUUUUAUUAGGGACGAAUAAUGACGGUACCUGAUGAAUAAGCCUCGGCUAACUACGUGCCAGCAGCCGCGGUAAGACGUAGGAGGCGAGCGUUAUCCGGAUUUACUGGGCGUAAAGAGCGCGUAGGCGGCUUGACAAGUCAGCUGUAAAAUCUCCCGGCUUAACUGGGAGGGGCCAUCUGAUACUGUUAGGCUAGAGUGCAUCAGAGGGAGAUGGAAUUCCCGGUGUAGUGGUGAAAUGCGUAGAUAUCGGGAGGAACACCAGUGGCGAAGGCGGUCUCCUGGGAUGUUACUGACGCUGAGGCGCGAAAGCGUGGGGAGCGAACAGGAUUAGAUACCCCAGUAGUC